UACGGGGGGAGCAAGCGUUGUUCGGAUUUACUGGGCGUAAAGGGCGCGUAGGCGGUCGUGACAAGUCACUUGUGAAAUCUCCGGGCUUAACUCGGAACGGUCAAGUGAUACUGCGCGGCUAGAGUGCAGAAGGGGCAACUGGAAUUCUCGGUGUAGCGGUGAAAUGCGUAGAUAUCGAGAGGAACACCUGCGGCGAAGGCGGGUUGCUGGGCUGACACUGACGCUGAUGCGCGAAAGCCAGGGGAGCGAACGGG
rnacentral:rRNA from 1 species